rnacentral:rRNA from 1 species
GAGUUUGAUCCUGGCUCAGAGCGAACGUUAGCGGCAGGCUUAACACAUGCAAGUCGAGCGAGAAAGGGGCUUCGGCUCCGAGUAAAGCGGCGGACGGGUGCGUAACACGUGGAUAAUCUGCCUCGUGGCGGGGGACAACAGUCCGAAAGGACUGCUAAUACCGCAUGUCAGGUCGGAAACUCCGGUUUCUGACGAAAAAAGAGGGCGUCCGCAAGGAGCUCUCACCACGAGAUGAGUCCGCGUCCCAUCAGCUAGUUGGCGGUGUAAUGGACCACCAAGGCUUAGACGGGUAGCUGGUCUGAGAGGAUGACCAGCCACACUGGGACUGAGACACGGCCCAGACUCCUACGGGAGGCAGCAGUGGGGAAUAUUGGACAAUGGGCGAAAGCCUGAUCCGAGCCAUGCCGCGUGAGUGAUGAAGGCCUCGGUC